AUCUCCCCAUUAGCAAGGAGGUAAUUCUGACAGUAAUAGAAUAUGAAUUAACCUGAUAGUAUCUCCUAUGAACAAGUGCCCAUUCCAAGCUGUAAGCAAACCACCAGAGGCUUUAUCAGAGCUAGAGUACUCAAAUUUAUUCACCUGCCUUAAACAAAAUUUGCUAAGAUAGAACUGAUCAAAUUUUCUUCAUUUAGUUUCCUGUAGGCAAAUCACUAAAGCAGCACUCUCAUAAAUUUUGUCCCUAACAGCAUCCCAUUUUCCUUGUGAAUUGAUUCCCC
rnacentral:lncRNA from 1 species